rnacentral:tRNA from 1 species
GGGUCCGUGGCGCAGCACGGAUAAUUGGCUAUGCGCUACACUUCAGUAACGCGUAGACAACACGGAUAGCGCGUCAGCCUUCUAAGCUGAACGUCCUGGGUUCAAAUCCCAGCGGACCCG